rnacentral:rRNA from 1 species
CCUACGGGAGGCAGCAGUGAGGAAUAUUGGUCAAUGGCCGGAAGGCUGAACCAGCCAUGCCGCGUGAAGGUCAGUGCCCUAUGGGCGUUAAACUUCUUUUGUGCGGGAGCAAUAAUGGUCACGUGUGGCCAGACGAGAGUACCGUACGAAUAAGCAUCGGCUAACUCCGUGCCAGCAGCCGCGGUAAUACGGGGGAUGCACGCGUUAUCCGGGUUUAUUGGGUUUAAAGGGUGCGUAGGCUGGGAGGUAAGUCAGCGGUGAAAUGCCCCCGGUCAACGGGGUGAAGUGCCAUUGAUACUGCCUGGCUGGAAUGCGGGUGCCGUGGGAGGAAUGUGUGGUGUAGCGGUGAAAUGCAUAGAUAUCACACAGAACACCGAUUGCGAAGGCAUCUCACGAAUCCGCGAUUGACGCUGAUGCACGAAAGCGUGGGUAUCAAACAGGAUUAGAUACCCGGGUAGUC